UACAGAGGGUGCGAGCGUUAAUCGGAAUUACUGGGCGUAAAGGGUGCGUAGGUGGUUGUAUAAGUUGGGUGUGAAAGUCCUGGGCUUAACCUGGGGACUGCGCUUAAUACUGUAUAGCUAGAGUAUUGUAGAGGAAGGUGGAAUUUCCGGUGUAGCGGUGAAAUGCGUAGAUAUCGGAAGGAACAUCAGUGGCGAAGGCGACUUUCUGGACAGAUACUGACACUGAGGCACGAAAGCAUGGGUAG
rnacentral:rRNA from 1 species